AUUGAACGCUGGCGGCAUGCUUUACACAUGCAAGUCGAACGGCAGCGCGGGGCAACCUGGCGGCGAGUGGCGAACGGGUGAGUAAUAUAUCGGAACGUACCCAGAAGUGGGGGAUAACGUAGCGAAAGUUACGCUAAUACCGCAUACGAUCUACGGAUGAAAGUAGGGGACCGCAAGGCCUUAUGCUUUUGGAGCGGCCGAUAUCUGAUUAGCUAGUUGGUGAGGUAAAGGCUCACCAAGGCGACGAUCAGUAGCUGGUCUGAGAGGACGACCAGCCACACUGGAACUGAGACACGGUCCAGACUCCUACGGGAGGCAGCAGUGGGGAAUUUUGGACAAUGGGCGCAAGCCUGAUCCAGCAAUGCCGCGUGAGUGAAGAAGGCCUUCGGGUUGUAAAGCUCUUUUGUCAGGGAAGAAACGGUAGAGGCUAAUAUCCUUUGCUAAUGACGGUACCUUAAGAAUAAGCACCGGCUAACUACGUG
rnacentral:rRNA from 1 species